UGAAAAUAGCAAAACAACUAAGGCAUAAAGCCCACUCCACAAAUCUGAAAAGGGAGAAAAGGGUUAGGUUUUAAAUUAUAAGUUUUUUAUUCUUAGGUUUUUAGGGAUUUAGGGGAGAUCGGGGAAUAUGGGUUUCACGGCUGCCACCAUUCAACCAGCUGCCGUUGGACUUGGACCGGCGACUGAGGACACCGCCGGAGCUGCUAAUGGGUGAACCGCCGCGCAAGGCUGUUCGAGACGGGCCCUGGAACAUGCGGCGGAGGCUGGCAGCGUUGGCGAGGCUGGGAGGAGAAGAACCCCGCUGUACCAUGUGAAUCGCGUCGCUGUCUGGACGCUGGUUUGGCGGAGGAGGGCGGCGCUUCCGCGAACCAGAGAUAAGUGAAGAAGGAUCCCUUCCCUUGAACUUGGUAUGAUGUUGAUUGAAUGCGGUCUAUAUUUAAGCCACAAGAGGGGUGUAUGGGCAGAAUGUGGGGGAAACUUCUUACUUAACAUAAUUGGGUGUAGUUAAGGGAGAAAAUCUGUUUUCUCCUUUAAUGACUGGAUAUGUUUUUUUAUUAUGGCCAAAACUAAAGUUUAUCGUGU